UCCAAGGGGCAGAAUACGUAAGACUCCCAUUGAUUCAGGACCUGUGACCCAGGCUCUGUGCUGAGCAUGUUAAUGGCACAACACACUGCAUGCAAUUCACCCCCACAUGCAUGGAGAAGGUGACAUCAUUACCCAAAGUCCCAUGGACGUCCAGCUGCCCACAUGUCCUUCAAGAAGCAGGUUGGCUGGGCCCAGGGCCCAGAGCAGAGGGUGAGGGCUGUGCUCUCCAGCUGGGCAGCCAGCUCCCGCAGCUCAGAUGCUGGCUGUCUUCUCAGAAAGGCGCUGGAAUGCUCUGGUGUGUGGUGGGGCCUCCUGUUGGCAUGGGAUUAGGCUGCGGCCUCAAUGGACAUUUUAUAGGGACAUUAGACUGCAUGGGACAGCUACUGUGACAUGGGAAGUGACCCAAGCUGGGGGCACCCUGACUUUUCUGGUUUUGAGAUCAAGAAAUGCCCCUGCCUCGGUUUCCCCUUUCUCCCUAACCACCAUCUUGCCCCUCUCUGCACCUAUGUUUCCCUUUCUGUGUCCCCUCUCCUGCUCUUUGGUCUGUCUU